rnacentral:ncRNA from 1 species
ACAAGGGGAAUCCGACUGUUUAAUUAAAACAAAGCAUUGUGAUGGUCCCUGCGGACGCUGACGGAAUGUGAUUUAUACCCAGUUCUCUACAUGUGAAAGUGAAGAAAUUCAAUCAAGCCCAGGUAAACUACGGGAGUAACUAUGAUUCUCUUAAGGUAGUCAGAUGUCUUGUCAUGAAAUUAGUGACAUUUAUGAAUGGAUUAACAAGAUUCAC